rnacentral:rRNA from 1 species
AUUGAACGCUGGCGGCAGGCCUAACACAUGCAAGUCGAACGGUAACAGGAAACAGCUUGCUGUUUCGCUGACGAGUGGCGGACGGGUGAGUAAUGUCUGGGAAACUGCCUGAUGGAGGGGGAUAACUACUGGAAACGGUAGCUAAUACCGCAUAACGUCGCAAGACCAAAGAGGGGGACCCUCGGGCCUCUUGCCAUCGGAUGUGCCCAGAUGGGAUUAGCUUGUUGGUGGGGUAACGGCUCACCAAGGCGACGAUCCCUAGCUGGUCUGAGAGGAUGACCAGCCACACUGGAACUGAGCCACGGUCCCGACUCCUACGGGAGGCAGCAGUGGGGAAUAUUGCACAAUGGGCGCAAGCCUGAUGCAGCCAUGCCGCGUGUAUGAAGAAGGCCUUCGGGUUGUAAAGUACUUUCAGCGGGGAGGAAGGGAGUAAAGUUAAUACCUUUGCUCAUUGACGUUACCCGCAGAAGAAGCACCGGCUAACUCCGUG